rnacentral:rRNA from 1 species
CCUACGGGAGGCAGCAGUGGGGAAUUUUGCACAAUGGGCGGAAGCCUGAUGCAGCGACGCCGCGUGGAGGAUGAAGGCCUUCGGGUUGUAAACUCCUUUUGUAGGGGACGAUGGUGACGGUACCCUACGAAUAAGCCACGGCUAACUCUGUGCCAGCAGCCGCGGUAAGACAGAGGUGGCGAGCGUUGUUCGGAAUUACUGGGCGUAAAGGGUGCGUAGGUGGUUUGUUAAGUCAGGCGUGAAAUCCCUGGGCUCAACCUGGGAACUGCGUUUGAUACUGGCAGACUCGAGUCUGGUAGAGGGUAGUGGAAUUCCGCAUGUAGCGGUGAAAUGCGUAGAUAUGCGGAGGAACAUCAGUGGCGAAGGCGGCUACCUGGACCAAGACUGACACUGAGGCACGAAAGCGUGGGGAUCAAACAGGAUUAGAUACCCUGGUAGUCCACGCCCUAAACGAUGGGUACUAGACGUUGGGAGGUUUAUCCUCUUGGUGUCGCAGCUAACGCAAUAAGUACCCCGCCUGGGGAGUACGGUCGCAAGAUUAAAACUCAAAGGAAUUGACGG